UGGAUGAAGAGUCGCGCUAAGCGCACUGAUGAGUCUCUGAGAUGAGACGAAACUCUUUGUUUA
rnacentral:hammerhead_ribozyme from 1 species